AACCUUAUGGACCUGCGGGCGUAUACCUGCGGAAGGAUCAUUAACGUGCUGUGGAGGUCUACCUUUAAACGGGUAUGAUCUUUCACAUGGCCACCCUUGUUUACCUUAACUGUUGCUUUGGUGGGCCUGCCGAUAAGGCUGCCGGGGAAUUUUUAAAUUCCCGGGCUCGUGCUCACCAAAGUUCUUUGAACUCUGGGUUUUGUUUUUAGCUGUCUGAGUGUUAAAAUCAAAUUAUUUUUA
rnacentral:misc_RNA from 1 species